GAUGAACGCUGGCGGCGCGCCUAACACAUGCAAGUCGAACGAUUAAAGCACCUUCGGGUGUGUAUAAAGUGGCGAACGGCUGAGUAACACGUGGGCAACCUGCCCCUUUCAUUGGGAUAGCCACGGGAAACCGUGGAUAAUACCGAAUACUUCGAGACUUCCGCAUGGAAGACUCGAGAAAGCUCCGGCGGAGAGGGAUGGGCCCGCGGCCUGUUAGCUUGUUGGUGGGGUAACGGCCUACCAAGGCAAUGAUGGGUAGCUGGGUUGAGAGACCGACCAGCCAGAUUGGGACUGAGACACGGCCCAGACUCCUACGGGAGGCAGCAGUGGGGAAUCGUGCACAAUGGGCGAAAGCCUGAUGCAGCGACGCCGCGUGCGGGAUGAAGGCCUUCGGGUUGUAAACCGCUUUCAGCAGGGACGAGGCGAAAGUGACGGUACCUGCAGAAGAAGCCCCGGCUAACUACGUG
rnacentral:rRNA from 1 species